AUGGAUGUGAGAGUGGACUAUAAAGAAAGCUGAGCGCCGAAGAAUUGAUGCUUUUGAACUGUGGUGUUGGAGAAGACUCUUGAGAGUCCCUUGGACUGCAAGGAGAUCCAACCAGUCCAUCCUAAGGGAAAUCAGUGCUGAGUGUUCAUUGGAAGGACUGAUGCUGAAGCUGCAACUCCAAUACGUUGGCCACCUGAUGCAAAGAACUGACUCAUUUGAAAAAACCCUGAUGCUGGGCAAGAUUGAGGGCAGGAGGAGAAGUGGAUGACAGUGGAUGAGAUUGGCAUUGCCAUUGGCAUCACCGACCAAUGGACAUGAGUUUGGGCAAACUCCAGGAGUUGGUGGUGAACAGGGAGGCCUGGUGUGCUGCGGUUCAUGGGGUCACAAAGAGUCAGACAGGACUGAGUGACUGAACUGAACUGAACUGAGGAAACUUCAGGAGAUGGUGAAGGACAGGGAAGCCUGGCGUGCUGCAGAGGUUGCAGGGUUGGAUACAACUGAGCGACUGAACAACAACAUACCAUAGGCAAUACUAUAUGGUACUAUUAAUUUCUUUUGAGUUUUUAUGUCUACUGCAUGCAACAAUUCUAAUCGUAUUAACUCUAUUUAGAAUAUGAACAUCUGGGUUUAAGUCCAGGAUGCCCCAUUCAAGUAGCCUGCUUCUUCAAGCCUUGGCCUUCAUGUUUCUAGGACUGAGAUCCUGCUACUUGCAGCAUGGGACUGCUACCAGGACUAAAUGAGUGCUUUGUUUACUGUAGAGUUACAGGUCUCUCCAGAAAGUAUCUUCCAGUAUGUGCCUAGAAGAUACCGUCCUAGCUACCCGUGGUCUGGGAGCCAAGCCAGUGAGGAGUGGGGCGGAUCUCAGCCCUCAGUCCCCUUCCCGUCUGCACCCACACUUCUGGAAACAGCUGGUACCACCAAGUACAGGCCACAGAGCCUGUGGGAGUCCUCAGCGCAGGCCGAGCUGCUCCUUGCCUUUCCUCACCCUGGGCCUCAGAUUCAGCGUGUCAUCUACGAGUCAGCGGUUACUCAUCCUUCAGUGUUCAAGCCCCGCCACGUUUUGUCGUCUCUGUGUGGUCUUGUGCGGUACAGGGUCCUUUUGCCGUCAUUUAGACGGGUUUCCAGGAGGAGCUGGAGGAAGUGCCUGUGUGUAGUCUGCACGUGGGGACUGACUGACUCGUGGGCUGGGAAGGAAAAGGUAGCACAUGGGUCGGUGGACGGGUUGAGCAGGAGGCAGAUGGCAUGCUGGCCGAGGGUGAAGGGCCUGGCAGACCUGGAGGGGCAGAGACUAGGCGGGGGAGCUGAACCUCGUGGCGCAGCCUUAGAACUUAGGAGAGCUCCAUUCAAGGUACUGCCUCGGCAGAGUCCAAAGGUGUUGCUGAAUCAGGAUCAGAAAGCGGCUUCAAGCCGUAUCCAAGAGAGUGCAUCAAGGACCUUAGAAAUAGCUGUAAUCUUAUUCAAUUAACUUCAUUUGUAGAAUUCUUCCUGAGAAGAGAAAGUAUAGAAUAUACAUAUAAUACAUAUACUUUCCUAAUAAAAGUUACUAUAUAU
ensembl:lncRNA